GAUGAACGCUGGCGGCGUGCCUAAUACAUGCAAGUCGAGCGAAUGGAUUAAGAGCUUGCUCUUAUGAAGUUAGCGGCGGACGGGUGAGUAACACGUGGGUAACCUGCCCAUAAGACUGGGAUAACUCCGGGAAACCGGGGCUAAUACCAGAUAACAUUUUGAACCGAAUGGUUCGAAAUUGAAAGGCGGCUUCGGCUGUCACUUAUGGAUGGACCCGCGUCGCAUUAGCUAGUUGGUGAGGUAACGGCUAACCAAGGCAACGAUGCGUAGCCGACCUGAGAGGGUGAUCGGCCACACUGGGACUGGGACACGGCCCAGACUCCUACGGGAGGCAGCAGUAGGGAAUCUUCCGCAAUGGACGAAAGUCUGACGGAGCAACGCCGCGUGAGUGAUGAAGGCUUUCGGGUCGUAAAACUCUGUUGUUAGGGAAGAACAAGUGCUAGUUGAAUAAGCUGGCACCUUGACGGUACCUAACCAGAAAGCCACGGCUAACUACGUGCCAGCAGCCGCGGUAA
rnacentral:rRNA from 1 species